ensembl:lncRNA
AGGCAAUGGCAACCCACUCCAGUACUCUUGCCUGGAAAAUCCCAUGGACAGAGGAGCCUGGUGGGCUGCGGUCCAUGGGGUCGCUAAGAGUCAGACACGACUGAGUGACUUCACUUUCAGGUUUCACUUUCAUGCAUUGGAGAAGGAAAUGGCAACCCACUCCAGUGUUCUUGCCUGGAGAAUCCCAGGGAUGGCGGAGGCUGGUGGGCUGCGGUCUAUGGGGUCACAAAGAGCCAGACACUACUGAAGUGACUUAGCAGCAGCAGGCAUUAUUCAGAAGGUCUUAGAGAAGUCCCAAUAAGAUCACACACUGAAUUCUUCCAGCAGAGAAACCAUAUAACUUAGUAGUUUUUAAUCCUGAAGAUAUGCUAACUGACUGCACUGUGGUGUUUCAACAGAGCUUCCAUCUUAGGCCAAUCAUUCUGAUACUACCCCCAUUUGGGACUUUAUUGUAAUUUGAAACAACGCCUAAAUCAAAUCCCUUCUGAUUAUACAGUGGAAGUGAGAAAUAGAUUUAAGGGACUAGAUCUGAUAGACAGAGUGCCUGAUGAACUAUGGACGGAGGUUCAUGACAUUGUACAGGAGACAGGGAGCAAGACCAUCCCCAAGAAAAAGAAAUGCAAAAAAGCAAAAUGACUGCCUGAGGAGGCCUUACAGAUAGCUGUGAAAAGAAGAGAAGACAAAAGCAAAGAGAAAAGGAAAGAUAUAUCCAU